UGGCUCAGUGGAUAGAGCGUUGGCCUGCGGACUGAAAGGUCCCGGGUUCGAUUCCCGG
rnacentral:tRNA from 1 species